UCCGUAAAUACUUUUAAUGAUUUUUGUUUUUCGAAAAAACGAAACAAUUUCCGUUACGUUUCUGAACACCCGGGCACUCAUAACCCACCCGCCCAGUUUUUUUGUUUUUGCGAAUCGCGUGAUUCGAACGGACAUCACCCUCCGCGCAGCCACUGCAUAUGUGCGUGAUGAUGUUUGGCUUUUCGCGCCGUCUCGCGAUUAUAUCAAGGGCGUUUUUUCUCUCGACGAUUCCAUAAGACCG